rnacentral:rRNA from 1 species
CUGGCGGCACGCCUUAUACAUGCAAGUCGAACGAAGUAGCAAUACUUAGUGGCAGACGGGUGAGUAACAUGUGGGUAUCUUCCCUUUGGUGAGGAAUAACACGAGGAAACUUGUGCUAAUACCUCAUAAGUCUUUACGGAGAAAGCUUUAUGCGCCAAUGGAUGAGCCCGCACUUGAUUAGUUUGUUGGUGGGGUAAUGGCCUACCAAGACUUUGAUCAAUAGCUGAUUUGAGAGGAUGAUCAGCCACAUUGGGACUGAGACACGGCCCAAACUCCUACGGGAGGCAGCAGUAAGGAAUCUUGCACAAUGGAGGAAACUCUGAUGCAGCGAUGCCGCGUGAGUGAAGAAGGCCUUUGGGUUGUAAAGCUCUUUCGUCGGGGAAGAAAAUGACUGUACCCGAAUAAGAAGGU